GUGCUCAUGUCAGUAGCACAUAUACUAAAAUGGGAACAAUAUAGAGAAGAUUAGCAUGGCUGUUGUACAAUGAUAUCAUGCAAAUUCCUAAAGCAGUCCAUAUUUCU
ensembl:snRNA U6 U6 spliceosomal RNA